AAUUCCUCCUACUUUCAUUCUUAUUCUCCAUUCCUACUUUGACGUUACUUUGACGAAGCUUCUAACUAUAAUCUGUAUUCUUUUCUGCAGAACAAUAGAAUAAUCUCAUAAUAAUUUCAUAAAACAAAGGAUCGCCUUUUACUCAACCAUCGACUGGUAAACCCAAAUCUUUCAUGGUUAUAUCAAACACAGCAUAAGCACCUAUUUCACAGACAGUAAAUUGGCAUACAUAUAUACACAGAUAAUCAUCCUUCAUACCAGAGACUUAUACAGACUUUUAUUAACCGAUCGUUUAAACAAGAAAAUAGAAGAAACAAACAGAAUGAUACAUAUACAUAUACAGAACAAUCUGCAUAAUUGCUUUAUUUUAUAUUUUUGAAUGAAAGAGCCAACUUUCCAUUGAUUUGAGUGUUGGUGUAGCGUGAGUUCAGUUGGGGCAACGAUUUUUGACGGCCACAGGCUGUCCGGCAAGGGGGGAGAGAAGAAGGCGGCGACGCCGCCGCUGUAGACGACUGUGGUCGGCGGCGGUGGUUUCCCUGCUGCUGGCACGCUGUCUGUGAGAGGAGGAGCUACGGCACGGCGGCUCUCCCCGCUGCUGUCGGGCCGAGGAUAGAGAGAGAGAGGGUGAGAAGGGCGGCGGUGGUUAGUUUCCGCUGCUGCGGCGGCCGGAAAUAAGCCAAGAGAGAGAGAGACUCGAGGGAGAUGGCAAGGCACGGCGGCAGCCGCCUCAUCUGCUGCCGUUGUCAGCCAGUUUGAGUGAAGGAGGGGGGAAGUCCAGGCGGACGCCGGAGUUCCAGGAGAGAGGAGCGGCUGCCUCGCCGGAAGGAGGAGCGGCUGCCUCGCCGGUUUGAUGAGUGAGGAUGAGGGAGAAGGGGGUGGUGGCGUGAACCGCGAGAGAGAGAGAGGGACGGAACUUUGGGAGAGAGAGAUUGAGAUAUGUGAUAGUGUGUGUGUGCGGCUGAUAAGGAGAAGAGAGAGUGGAGGUGUUGGGCUAGGGUGAGGGUUGGGCUUGGUUGGGGAGUGGGCUUGGCUGUUGGGCCGGGGUUUAAUUAGUGUUGGGCUGGAUUUUUAAUUAGUUUUGGGCCGAGUCAGUGGGCUUGAGUGUGGGCUAGGGCUUAGAUGGAGUGAUGGGUCGAUUUUUAAUGGGCUGGGUUCUUGAUUUAAUUUUCAAUGGGCUUGCGACUUGGGCCGAUUUUAAUUGAGAGUUGGGGCCUUUGUUUUAAAUUUUCACUUGGGCCGAUUUUUAUUUUUUAACAGAUGGGCCAAUGUUUAUUAAUUCCUUGGGCCCUAAAUUUAUAUCAAUUGAGUCAGUUUUAUUUUUAACUUUGGGCUGCCUUGAUUAAUUAAAUUAAUUGAGCUGCCCUAUUUUAAUUAAUUGAACUAUUAAUUAGUUUAAUUAAUUCAAAUACUAGUUUUCAUAAUAAUAUUUUAUUUUUAUUAGUAAGUGCAUAUUUUAAGUAAUUUCUUAUUAUAUGCCAAGCAUGAUAUGAAUUUGCAUUAUAUUUUUGCAAUAAAAGUAUUUAAGAUUUAAUUGGUUUUAUUUAUAAUUCCAAUUAUUAAAUAAAGAUGAGUAAGAAUAUUGUUGGUGUACUUAACUCAAGAGAAAUGUUUUCAAUUAUUUAUUCAUUAAAUUUUGAAAAACCGGCUAAGUGAAUCAUAGAAUAUUAAGCAUUACACCAUGACUUAAGAUUAGAAUUUAAGGAGACCUAUUGAGAAUAGAUUUCUUGUAGGCUUUGAGCAUCAGGAGGAUUAGCACUGCUAUUCCGAUUCAGAGAUAAGGUUAAACGACAGGCUUUGCCUAGACAGGUUGAUUGGUCGGUGCUGACGGAGCAGAGCUGAGGCUAGGGUUCAACUCCGUAUUUUGUCUUCCGCUGUUGCACUAGCUUUUAUUUGUCUUUUGUUUCUCCAACUUAAGACUUUUAUGUUAAAUUCUGAAUUAUGUUUUAUCGAGAUUAAACUCUCAA